rnacentral:rRNA from 1 species
CCUACGGGAGGCUGCAGUGGGGAAUAUUGGACGAUGGGGGCAACCCUGAUCCAGCCAUGCCGCGUGUGUGAAGAAGGCCCUCGGGUUGUAAAGCACUUUCAGUGAGGAAGAACGCCUGGUGGUUAAUACCCAUCAGGAAAGACAUCACUCACAGAAGAAGCACCGGCUAACUCCGUGCCAGCAGCCGCGGUAAUACGGAGGGUGCGAGCGUUAAUCGGAAUUACUGGGCGUAAAGCGCGCGUAGGUGGCUUGAUAAGCCGGUUGUGAAAGCCCCGGGCUCAACCUGGGAACGGCAUCCGGAACUGUCAAGCUAGAGUGCAGGAGAGGAAGGUAGAAUUCCCGGUGUAGCGGUGAAAUGCGUAGAGAUCGGGAGGAAUACCAGUGGCGAAGGCGGCCUUCUGGACUGACACUGACACUGAGGUGCGAAAGCGUGGGUAGCAAACAGGAUUAGAUACCCCGGUAGUC